rnacentral:rRNA from 2 species
AUUGAUUUUGGUCGCCAACGAGUGGCGGACGGGUGAGUAACACGUAGGUAACCUGCCCAGAAGCGGGGGACAACAUUUGGAAACAGAUGCUAAUACCGCAUAACAGCGUUGUUCGCAUGAACAACGCUUAAAAGAUGGCUUCUCGCUAUCACUUCUGGAUGGACCUGCGGUGCAUUAGCUUGUUGGUGGGGUAACGGCCUACCAAGGCGAUGAUGCAUAGCCGAGUUGAGAGACUGAUCGGCCACAAUGGGACUGAGACACGGCCCAUACUCCUACGGGAGGCAGCAGUAGGGAAUCUUCCACAAUGGGCGCAAGCCUGAUGGAGCAACACCGCGUGAGUGAAGAAGGGUUUCGGCUCGUAAAGCUCUGUUGUUAAAGAAGAACACGUAUGAGAGUAACUGUUCAUACGUUGACGGUAUUUAACCAGAAAGUCACGGCUAACUACGUGCCAGCAGCCGCGGUAAUACGUAGGUGGCAAGCGUUAUCCGGAUUUAUUGGGCGUAAAGAGAGUGCAGGCGGUUUUCUAAGUCUGAUGUGAAAGCCUUCGGCUUAACCGGAGAAGUGCAUCGGAAACUGGAUAACUUGAGUGCAGAAGAGGGUAGUGGAACUCCAUGUGUAGCGGUGGAAUGCGUAGAUAUAUGGAAGAACACCAGUGGCGAAGGCGGCUACCUGGUCUGCAACUGACGCUGAGACUCGAAAGCAUGGGUAGCGAACAGGAUUAGAUACCCUGGUAGUCCAUGCCGUAAACGAUGAGUGCUAGGUGUUGGAGGGUUUCCGCCCUUCAGUGCCGGAGCUAACGCAUUAAGCACUCCGCCUGGGGAGUACGACCGCAAGGUUGAAACUCAAAGGAAUUGACGGGGGCCCGCACAAGCGGUGGAGCAUGUGGUUUAAUUCGAAGCUACGCGAAGAACCUUACCAGGUCUUGACAUCUUGCGCCAACCCUAGAGAUAGGGCGUUUCCUUCGGGAACGCAAUGACAGGUGGUGCAUGGUCGUCGUCAGCUCGUGUCGUGAGAUGUUGGGUUAAGUCCCGCAACGAGCGCAACCCUUGUUACUAGUUGCCAGCAUUAAGUUGGGCACUCUAGUGAGACUGCCGGUGACAAACCGGAGGAAGGUGGGGACGACGUCAGAUCAUCAUGCCCCUUAUGACCUGGGCUACACACGUGCUACAAUGGACGGUACAACGAGUCGCGAACUCGCGAGGGCAAGCAAAUCUCUUAAAACCGUUCUCAGUUCGGACUGCAGGCUGCAACUCGCCUGCACGAAGUCGGAAUCGCUAGUAAUCGCGGAUCAGCAUGCCGCGGUGAAUACGUUCCCGGGCCUUGUACACACCGCCCGUCACACCAUGAG